UAUUUUGGAGAUUUACCCAAGCAUUAAUUAAGUUUUAUCUUCUCAAAACAAUUGUCCAGACUAUAUUCUGCUUCUGCGUUUUCAUCUUUCAAUUUUUCAACCUAACCAUUACUUUCUUCAAUCCAUUUGUAAAUUGGGAAAAAAUUGAUUCAUCAACAUCAAAUUCAUCCAUCCUAUUUACUCUCCACUCAUACCGUUUCUUCUCUCUCAUCUUUGGGGAAAAUGCCCUAAGAAACUCAUCUCUGUCAUGAAACUCCAUAAUCUCUCACGGUUCCAUAAUCUCAACUUAUUCCUCGCGGAUUUGCAAUUGAAGAUCCUUGAAUUACUGUUCAUGAUUUGUAAGUGUGGCGUCCUUGAAAGAUUGGUAUACAAGAACAAGAACCAACAUUGCCGCUGUUCCUAUUUCCAGCAUCUUAUGAAGGUGAGGAGGGAUUUAAGGCUUCUGCAGUUGGCGAACUUGGAGGAGCUUGUAAAAUCAUGCUUCUCUGUUAUCUAAGAGGAUAGACCAAAACAGAAGAUUCAUCUUUUAGAGAGAUAGGUUUAUGUUAUUUAUUUUUUUAAUUUUUUUUUUUGGAGUUUUCCUAAUUAUAUGUGCGGAGGUUUAAUUUAGAUAUUAAACAAAGAUAACUGAGGAGGUGACAUAAUUGUGUGUAUAAAACAUGUAGAGUGUCUUUUUCUGUUCACAUUUCAUGCAUAAUGCAUUUCAUCUCUUACCACUGCAACACCCCUUAAUGACCGAUUCAUGUACAAAAAUUCUUGUUUCAUUUAAUGCGGGAUUGCACAAAGAAAUGCAAGAAAUCGGAAAAAGCAAAAAAACCCUUAUAUACUAGGAACUAAGUUGCUUGUGAGGAAAAGAGAUGAGUUGGUAUGGUUUUUUGGUUAUAAGUUCUUUUUGGUUCUGGUUUUGUUCUUUAGCUUACAGAUCUAUUUCCCAAAGAAAGCAAUAAUUUGAACAAUUCUUUAGGGUCUGUUUAGUUUUUUAUUUUUUAUUUGAGAGGAGGUGAGGAGAAGGGAGGAAAGUCAAAUCCCUCCUAAUCUAAUUUUAUCUCUCCUCCAAUCCUCAAAUUUUUUCGAUCUCGACUUAGCGAAGUUUAAGUAUAUUUUCUUUAUUUUGUCUUUUGUUUCAUUAGCUUCUACCAUGGAAUUGUUAGACAACUUAUGUUUGGUGGUUUUGAUGAACUAUGCGUUUGGACUUUAUCUCAGUGCACAACUUAUGUUAAACAGAUUUACUUUGUACUUGCAUAAUCUUAAUGAAGAGUUACUUUAUCGGCAAGGUUAUUUGCACCACAGUAUAUUAAGUGCAUUUUUUGAAUGAUCUCCGGCUUUCCUGAAUUGUUAUCUAUCACCACAAUUAUGACGAGCUAUAUUUUGAAACUUAAGUUCCAAAGAUUUGUUAGAGAAAUCACGAAGUAUUUCAAAACAGAUCUCCGAUUUUAGAGUAGUACUGUUUCUUCUCUUCAAGAAGCCAGUGUAGCUUAUCUUGUUGGUUUUUUUUAAGAUAAUAAUAUAUGUUGUAUUCAUGUGAACUGCUAAGAUAUUUAUCAGUUAUUACUGUGCCUAAGGUUAUCAGUUAUGCAGGUUAAGCUAUUAGUCUAUUGUGACAAUGCUAUUAGUCUAUUAUUGUAUACUAGGAACUAAGCCUUUUGAUUGAUUAUAUAUCUAAUUGAACAAGUAAUUAUUAUAUGUGCUUACAUAGUUAAUACCUUUUAAAAUGGAGACUACCUGACUUUAAUAUCUUUUUUUUUUCUAUAUAAUUUUGCUUCUAUUUAAGCUUAUAGGGUGAUGGCUAUCUAGCUUGUGAAGUUUGUGUUUCGGCCUACAUAUUGUUUUUGUUUUCUUACUGUAGUAUUAUUUGGUAUAAAGUUUCAUGUUGUAUUGUUUUCCGAUUUGAUAAAGUUUCGAAAGUUGGAGAGGUUCUGGUUUGAUUAACUCACACACGAGCUGCUGCUUUAAGUGAAACUGGACAGUUUCCACCAAAACUAUUGAAGGAGGUCGUAUGAGAAGAAAUUAUGUGCUCUGUUAAUUUCGAAGACAAUGAACCUUCAAGUUUUUUUGAUUGGCAGACAUCUGAAACAUCUUUUCAACCUUUGAUUUCUCAAGAUUAAGGGUUUUCCUCUAUAUGAUUUUCCUGCAUAUUAUGAUAUUAAACACUUUUGUUUGAUUUAGCUUAUCUAACUUUUGUGUUGCUAUUUUUGGGUUCAGCAACUUCAUAAAUGAUGCAGCCAAGAAAGGUAGUGAUUCCAAACUUCUGAAUGCGCCAAAGGAUCCGAAUAUUCCUCAUAUAGAUGCGGAUAUUGAAGAUCCUCAACUAUACAGCUUCUAUGGCUUUUAGAGGUCUCUAUUUGUAGCUGCAUGCUCUGUUUUGUUUCAAUCCUCCGACCGGUACAGCUUGUUCAGGCGAAGAGUAUUAGUAAAGUUUUAAUGGUUUUCUUUAGCAGAAUGCUUUCGAUGUAAUGAACAAAAAUGUAAAUAGAUAUUUGAAGUUAUUUAAAAUGCUAAUACAUGAUUCUAAUCUUAUCA